rnacentral:rRNA from 1 species
UUAGGAAUUUUGGGCAAUGGGCGCAAGCCUGACCCAGCAACGCCGCGUGGGUGACGAAGGCCUUCGGGUUGUAAAGCCCUUUUGGAAGGGAAGAUGAUGACGGUACCUUUCGAAGAAGCACCGGCUAACUACGUGCCAGCAGCCGCGGUAAUACGUAGGGUGCAAGCGUUGCCCGGAUUUAUUGGGCGUAAAGGGCGCGUAGGCGGCUCUGCACGUCCGUUGUGAAAUCGCCCGGCUCAACUGGGCGGGGUCAGCGGAUACGGCGGAGCUUGAGCAAGCUAGGGGGCAAUGGAAUUCCCGGUGUAGUGGUGGAAUGCGUAGAUAUCGGGAGGAACACCAGUGGCGAAGGCGGUUGCCUGGGGCUUUGCUGACGCUGAGGCGCGAAAGCGUGGGGAGCGAUCCGGAUUAGAUACCCGGGUAGUCCACGCCGUAAACGAUGUCGACUAGGUGUCGGGGGUAUCGACCCCCUCGGCGCCGCAGCUAACGCAUUAAGUCGACCGCCUGGGGACUACGGCCGCAAGGCUAAAACUCAAAGGAAUUGAC